GGGGGGGGAUUGGGCUUCACACCAGCUCUUCGUGCCGUGGUGCGAUCAAAACCCUCUUGCAGGAGCGAUUUAGGUUGGCGGCACUUCUCUACAGACAUCUCUAGACGGCGCGUUUCAUCUCCAGGCGCUUUACCAACAGAUUCUCAGAAAACAGACGGCUCUCACUGACAGAUGACAGGGCCUGGUACAACUGAACAAGCAAAGAAGAGGCUCAGACUGACAGAGGAACAUGGUACAGUCACACUGAGACUGACCUGCAGGGACGAGGAUAGAGACCAAAACCACAACGCUCAACACACAGGAUUGCUCCUCAUAACACACUUAAGUCACUGGCGUAACCAGCAGAAAUACUCAGGAAGACUGAAUAGUAGAAUGUAAUUUAUUGCGUGAAAGUAAUUUGUCCCAACAGAGGGUUUAAGAAGCCUGUUCUCCAAGGGGAGAGAAAAGAGCUGGAGACAGAGAGGAACCAUUUGCAGUCUAGGAGGGUCCUGCACAGCCCGCGGAGGGGGACGCCCAGUCGCAGUGCACAAUGUCAGCGACCGGCCGUGGCUCCGAAGGGCACCCAGCGCUGCGAGGCCUCCAGCUGGGGAGUGCCCGGGCACCCCGCCGAGACGGGCGCCGUAUCGGGGCUGGACGGCGAUGCCCCUGGGAAAGGGCCCCCUCCCGAGCCACCACAGCGGCCUGCUUUUUAUGCCCAGGUGGUGUGCAGAGCUCUGCCCAACAGGCAACUCAAAACACGAGCCAAACGUUCACACUUUGUAUCUCUCUCCAAAACGCUGCCUGUGUGCCUUUUUCUUAACUGACACAGUUACUGCCCUGAAUUCUCUUCUCUGAUAAAAGAGAAUGUCUUAUGUAAUUGAACUUUUAAUAUCCAAAUAACAUUUUAGAAACAACUACGGCAAACUGAAAUAUGACAAAAAAAAAAAUGUUCAUCAAGCCUAAACACAGGAGGCACCAGCAAACUGUCACGCCCGGUGCCACGCAGCCAGCGUCACGCUGUAUUCCCGAUCGUGACACAGAAUACUGGCUGUAUUUACCACAUCGCUCCCCCUGAGAACGGAGGAAAACGAGCCAAGGGCCUACAAGUACAAAACUGCCUCCCCUUGUCUACACAAGGUUUCCUAAGAAGAAAUAAAACACAUUCUUUACAGUUCUCAGGACACAUAGCUAUACUAGGAGAUAAUUCUACUUCAAGGACUAAGAUCAAUAAUUUGCAUCAGACAUUUUAGGAUUUUUAAGAGGAGAAAGUCAAGUCAAUGUGAAUGCAAUGCAAAUAUAGCUCAAUUAAAAAAUAAGAACCACAAACGUAUAAAGGACACAAGAUAUACUUCAAAAUAGAAAGAAGAGUAUCGUGAUCAAAAUGGCAUUUCCAGAUUAUGUGUUGAGCAACAACAAAGUCUUCUGACAAUGUCUCACUUCAUAAUCACAAGAAGCCCAGGCAGCUAGGCCAGGCCCCACUGGCAGGAAGUCCUUUACACUGGCAGAAUGCUGCCUGAACACAGCGGUGUUUCUCUCUGUUUGUAACCACCUUUUUUUAUACCACAACUACUUGAAAUUAUUUUUGUUAGAGUUCAGAUCUGUUGUCAUCCAAAGGUGAAUGAACAACUUCUAAUUUCUCAUCUUAUGCCACUCCCCCCCAAUCGCUCAAAACUUUAUUUUUUUCAA